UAGAGUGCAAGCAGGCAGACCCAAUUUUCUGCCACCGAAUACAUUAGCAUGGGAUAAUGGAAUAGGACCCUGUCCUCCUAUUUUCAGUUGGUUUGCCGCGAGGACCAGGGUAAUGAUUAAUAGGGAUAGUUGGGGGCAUUAAUAUUUAAUUGUCAGAGGUGAAAUUCUUGGAUUUAUGAAAGAUUAACUUCUGCGAAAGCAUCUGCCAAGGAUGUUUUCAUUAACUCAAGAACGAAAGUUAGGGGAUCGAAGACGAUCAGAUACCGUCGUAGCUCUUAACCAUAAACGAUGCCGACCAGCGAUUAGGAGACGUUGAAUACAAAACACCACCAUGCGCAUUGCGGUCGUCUUUGGUGUCGCUCACAAGGCGGCCACCGGGGCGGCUUAGCUCGCAUGGCACCGGUGAAUGACUCCCCUAGCAGUUGUGAGACC
rnacentral:rRNA from 1 species